rnacentral:tRNA from 1 species
GGAUUGUGGCUGAGAGGUAAAGCGCUUACCUGGCAUGCAUGAGGCACUGGGUUCAAUCCCCUGCACCA